UACGGAGGGUGCAAGCGUUAUCCGGAUUCACUGGGUUAAAGGGUGCGUAGGCGGGCAUGUAAGUCCGUGGUGAAAUCUCCGAGCUUAACUCGGAAACUGCCAUGGAUACUAUGUGUCUUGAAUGUUGUGGAGGUGAGCGGAAUAUGUCAUGUAGCGGUGAAAUGCUUAGAUAUGACAUAGAACACCAAUUGCGAAGGCAGCUCACUACACAAAUAUUGACGCUGAGGCACGAAAGCGUGGGGAUCAAACAGG
rnacentral:rRNA from 1 species